CCUACGGGUUGCAGCAGUAGGGAAUAUUGGACAAUGGGCGCAAGCCUGAUCCAGCCAUGCCGCGUGAGUGAUGAAGGCCUUAGGGUUGUAAAGCUCUUUCGGCGGGGAAGAUAAUGACGGUACCCGCAUAAGAAGCCCCGGCUAACUUCGUGCCAGCAGCCGCGGUAAUACGAAGGGGGCUAGCGUUGCUCGGAAUCACUGGGCGUAAAGCGCACGUAGGCGGACUCUUAAGUCAGGGAUGAAAUCCUGGAGCUCAACUCCAGAACUGCCUUUGAUACUGGGAGCCCUGAGUUAGGGAGAGGUGAGUGGAACUGCGAGUGUAGAGGUGAAAUUCGUAGAUAUUCGCAAGAACACCAGUGGAGAAGGCGGCUCACUGGCCCGAUACUGACGCUGAGGUGCGAAAGCGUGGGGAGCAAACAGGAUUAGAUACCCCGGUAGUC
rnacentral:rRNA from 1 species